UACCAGACUCCUACGGGAGGCAGCAGUGAGGAAUAUUGGUCAAUGGGCGCAAGCCUGAACCAGCCAAGUCGCGUGAGGGAUGACGGUCCUAUGGAUUGUAAACCUCUUUUGUCGGGGAGCAAGGCCCGCCACGUGUGGCGGGAAGGAGAGUACCCGAAGAAAAAGCAUCGGCUAACUCCGUGCCAGCAGCCGCGGUAAUACGGAGGAUCCGAGCGUUAUCCGGAUUUAUUGGGUUUAAAGGGAGCGUAGAGGGGUUGUUAAGUCAGUUGUGAAAGUUUGCGGCUCAACCGUAAAAUUGCAAUUGAUACUGGCAGUCUUGAGUACAGUUGAGGUAAGCGGAAUUCGUGGUGUAGCGGUGAAAUGCUUAGAUAUCACGAAGAACCCCGAUUGCGAAGGCAGCUUACUAAACUGUGACUGACAUUGAUGCUCGAAAGUGUGGGUAUCAAACAGGAUUAGAUACCCCGGUA
rnacentral:rRNA from 1 species